AGCAAGGACACAGCUCAGCACAGGGCGUCUUCUCUGGUCACUCCAGGGUAGCCACUGUCAGCCCCUGCACAGGGGUUCAUGGUGCCCCUGGUGCCAUCUGUCUGAGCUCCCAGCUCUGGCCUAAAUCACUCGCAGUCAGCUGGUCCCAGACAAUAAAGGAACAGGAGUGUGGCCAGAAGGGAGAAAAACCUGUGGGAGGCACCAGGGCUCUGCUGAGAUGAGAUCUCCACGCCACGGUUGCUUUCAAAUCGAGGGAGAAUGUUCCCAAGCAGCCUGGGAGGCAGGUGUGACCUGAGGUCUCCAGGUACAAAAUAAGGCCAAAGGUGCCAGAGGCUGCAGGAGCAAGAGCAGGCAGAGUGUGGCACUGCACUCUGGGACCCUCUGUAGCCUGACUGAGGCCCCUCUGUGUGGAUCAGAGAUGGCUGGAGGCCACUGCUGGCCCUGCAGUCCGAGCACAGGUGAGGACAAGGACGCAGCUGUACACACUCUGGCACUGCAUGGCUGAGGACUGGAUCAGAGGUUACCAGAUCAGCCUGCGAGCAGAGCCAGGCGGCAAACAGAGCCUUCGUGAGUAGCCUUGGACACGUGCUCCCCGUCCAAGGUCCGGCUUCUGCCGCUAUCACAUAGCAGGAUUUGCUAAUCACCCGUUCUGUUCCGGAACUCGGAAGACCUGGUCCUCUUUGUAUCACCUCUAGAGCUAUUUUUCAUCAUGGCUUUGCCAAGCUCUUCUGUCACAACUGGAAAAGAUCUGGCAACGCCUAGAACCCUGAUGUAGAAAGUCCAGGCAGCCAGAUGGCAGCAGUGAGCCCCCUCCUCAGGCCCGAAUCAGGCCUGAGUUCACUCACUCUCUGCAAGAGUGCGUAUCAAUAGUCCCUGUCACUCCUGCAGCUUCACUCAGUGGCUUUUGGGGUCACUCUGUGUUUCCAGUCAAAGCUCAAUCUCACUUCCUAAGCAAAGCCCUUCCCUGCCCCUCAGAGCCUGGCCCCUCUGCCACCCUGUGAUGCCACCUGAGCAGUGCCCUGCACAUGAGGAAAGCCCCGACAGUCACCCUUUGCCUACUCCCUGUACCUCACAGCAAGGGCCAGGGAUUCUGAGCUUCCUGUGCCGGCCUCCCUAGGUCUGGAGGAAUGGGGUGGGGCGUUCUCACAUCCCAGCCUCUGAGGCAGGCUACUCCUUGAGAGUAAUAGCAGGAACCUAGCAGGAUUAUCUGAAGCAACUGGCGCACCUCAGGCACCUUGAUUGGCCACAGUUGGCAGCUGUGCGAUGCUGUGCACUGCACGCCUCCCAGGUCAUUUCUCCUCCACAUACCAGAGAUCGCAUCUGACCACAGUGCUCUGGCAGGUGGUAGGCCAGCGUCAGCACAGAAGUCUACAACAAGGUUGGUCCACUCCCGUUUCUAGGCAGACGUCAGACCCCUCUCUUCCCAGACUGGCAAGCACUGCUCCUAUUUUGUUUCAAGAAUCCAAGCAGACAGAAACCAAGGGCUAAGUCCACGGCCCCUGCCGGAAUUAGCCACAUCUCACCCGAUCGCCGUGGUGAGCUCUCAUCCUGCCUUAGUCUUUCUAGUGCCUCAGGUGGGAACGUCUGUCGGGAAUGGAGGGUCACAGAGAGGCCCUCAGAACCGGACCACUGUGCAAGGGAGAAUGAAGGUGGAGAGGAGGGGUCCCAGGGAACCUCCGAGUUCCAUGCUAGGACUCUCUGACUCUGCCUUUCAGGGAGCCGGCACAUGAGAGUUUAAAGCGGGGGCACUAAAAUAACCCCCGAGGGUGGCUGGCAAAACCCAGCAACCCUGUAAUGAAAAAGGAUCUUGAGACCAUAAUGCAAAGUGAAAUCAAUCAGAAACAGGUUAAAUAUUGCUCUGAUAUGAGACCCCAAGUAUAAAUAAUUUAUAAAGCAAAAUAAAAGGGAGAUGGCAGGAAACAGG
rnacentral:lncRNA from 1 species